UACGUAGGGGGCGAGCGUUGUCCGGAUUCAUUGGGCGUAAAGCGCUUUAAGGCGGUUCGCUAAGUCACGUGUGAAAACUCCAGGCUCAACCUGGAGACGCCACGUGAUACUGGCGUGACUAGAGUUCGGUAGGGGAUCACGGAAUUCCUGGUGUAGCGGUGAAAUGCGUAGAUAUCGAGAGGAACACCUGCGGCGAAGGCGGGUUGCUGGGCCGACACUGACGCUGAUGCGCGAAAGCCAGGGGAGCGAACGGG
rnacentral:rRNA from 1 species